CCUACGGGAGACAGCAGUGGGGAAUAUUGCACAAUGGGGGAAACCCUGAUGCAGCGACGCCGCGUGAGUGAAGAAGUAUUUCGGUACGUAAAGCUAUAUCAGCAGGGAAGAAAAUGACGGUACCUGACUAAGAAGCCCCGGCUAACUACGUGCCAGCAGCCGCGGUAAUACGUAGGGGGCAAGCGUUAGCCGGAUUUACUGGGUGUAAAGGGAGAGUAGACGGCAGCGCAAGUCUGGAGUGAAAUCCCAUGGCUUAACCAUGGAACUGCUUUGGAAACUGUGCAGCUAGAGUGCAGGAGAGGUAAGCGGAAUUCCUAGUGUAGCGGUGAAAUGCGUAGAUAUUAGGAGGAACACCAGUGGCGAAGGCGGCUUACUGGACUGUAACUGACGUUGAGGCUCGAAAGCGUGGGGAGCAAACAGGAUUAGAUACCCCGGUAGUC
rnacentral:rRNA from 1 species